rnacentral:rRNA from 1 species
UACAGAGGUCUCAAGCGUUGUUCGGAUUCAUUGGGCGUAAAGGGUGUGUAGGUGGCACGCUAAGUCGGGUGUGAAAUUUCGGAGCUUAACUCCGAAACUGCAUUCGAUACUGGCGUGCUUGAGGACUGGAGAGGAGACUGGAAUUCAUGGUGUAGCAGUGAAAUGCAUAGAGAUCAUGAGGAAGACCAGUGGCGAAGGCGGGUCUCUGGACAGUUCCUGACACUGAGACACGAAGGCCAGGGGAGCAAACGGG